GACGAACCGUGCGAACGUUGUUCGGAUUCACUGGGCUUAAAGGGCGCGUAGGCGGGCAUUCGAGUCAGGGGUGAAAUCUUUCGGCCCAACCGGAAAAGUGCCUCUGAUACCGGGUGCCUCGAGUGAGGUAGGGGCGUGUGGAACUUCCGGUGGAGCGGUGAAAUGCGUAGAUAUCGGAAGGAACGCCGGUGGCGAAAGCGACGCGCUGGACCUCAACUGACGCUGAGGCGCGAAAGCCAGGGGAGCAAACGGG
rnacentral:rRNA from 1 species